rnacentral:rRNA from 1 species
AAUGAACGCUGGCGGCGUGCCUAACACAUGCAAGUCGGAUGUGCCCGCAAGGGUGCAUGGCAGACGGGUGAGUAACGCGUAGGGAACCUACCUCUUUGUGGGGAAUAACGUUCCGGAAAGGAAUGGUAAUACCGCAUAAGACCACGGGCUGGGAUGCCGGUGGUGAAAGCUGGGGAUCGAAAGACCUGGCGCGAGGAGAGGGUCCUGCGUCUGAUUAGCUAGUUGGCGGGGUAACGGCCCACCAAGGCGACGAUCAGUAGCCGGCCUGAGAGGGGGAUCGGCCACACUGGAACUGAGGCACGGUCCAGACUCUUACGGGAGGCAGCAGUGGGGAAUUUUGCGCAAUGGGCGAAAGCCUGACGCAGCAACGCCGCGUGGGUGAUGAAGGUCUUCGGAUCGUAAAACCCUGUCGUCAGGGACGAAGGUUGCGAGUUUAAGAGAUGCGCAACUUGACGGUACCUGGAGAGGAAGCCCCGGCUAACUCUGUGCCAGCCGCCGCCGUAAGAC